GGAUUUUCAAUCCUGAAUUUGAAGUUACACGGGAUAGAGCAACAUAUAACUGUUCGUGAGUGAAGACUGCUUGUGGGUGAAAGGAUGCUUGGUGUCAGUAGGAGACAAAACAAUCCUUGGGAUGAGGACAAUUUCCCCAACAUGAGUACCAAUUUUGCAGGAGCAUUAUUGGUACCCCUACUUUCAAGCGGAUAUGAUGGUUUGGUAGGCCUGGAAACUCUAUGGAGUUUAAAUACCCGAUUGUGUAUAAGUCAUUCCAGUCUACACCUUGUGCAAGCUCUGUCUGGAUUGAAUCAGAACUUAAAUAUUCUUUACUCUCACCUGGAACCAUUGAUAGCUGGUAUUCGUUUAUUUCACGGACAGUCUCAUUCCAAGGAGUUAGGAUUGCCCUCUCCAUUAGGUAGUGUCUCUCCUAGAAGGAUUGAGAAAACACUGGAUAUGCAGGAUUUGAAAUCGCUGUUAGAUGGUUGCAUGCGUUUGGUAGAAUUAAACUUUCCUCUAUAGCGAUUCUGGACCCAUCAACAUGUUCAUCAACGUUUGUACUUGCUGAUAGUGAAUUUCUGUAUCCCACUUUUGAAAUCCAAGCUGCAUCAGACUUGUUUAGCCUCAUGUUUAUUGUUAGUUUGUAAUUUUGACAGGGAGUCCAAAGAUGAGAUCGA